AUUGAACGCUGGCGGCAUGCUUUACACAUGCAAGUCGAGCGGCAGCGCGGGGGCAACCCUGGCGGCGAGCGGCGAACGGGUGAGUAAUGCAUCGGAACGUACCCUGGAGUGGGGGAUAACGCCGCGAAAGCGGCGCUAAUACCGCAUAUGCUCUGAGGAGGAAAGUGGGGGACCGCAAGGCCUCACGCUCUGGGAGCGGCCGAUGUCCGAUUAGCUAGUUGGUGAGGUAAAGGCUUACCAAAGCGACGAUCGGUAGCUGGUCUGAGAGGAUGAUCAGCCACACUGGGACUGAGACACGGCCCAGACUCCUACGGGAGGCAGCAGUGGGGAAUUUUGGACAAUGGGGGCAACCCUGAUCCAGCCAUGCCGCGUGAGUGAAGAAGGCCUCGGUUGU
rnacentral:rRNA from 1 species